rnacentral:rRNA from 1 species
ACCAGCCGAGCUUCGGCUCGAACUGUUCGGUGUCUCUGGAUAACGAUGAGCGGAUCGCAUGGCCUUGAGCCGGCGACGUAUCUUUCAAGUGUCUGACCUAUCAACUGACGAUGGUACGCGAUAUGCCUACCAUGGUGAUAACGGGUAACGGAGAAUAAGGGUUCGACUCCGGAGAGGGAGCCUGAGAAAUGGCUACCACAUCCAAGGAUGGCAGCAGGCGCGCAAAUUACCCACUCUCAGUACGAGGAGGUAGUGACGAAAAAUAACAAUGCGGGACUCAUCAGAGGCCUCGCAAUUGGAAUGAGCGCACUUUAAAUCGUUCGACGAGGAUCUAUUGGAGGGCAAGUCUGGUGCCAGCAGCCGCGGUAAUUCCAGCUCCAAUAGCGUAUAUUAAAGUUGUUGCAGUUAAAAAGCUCGUAGUUGGAUCUGGGGUUCGGGUCGGCGGUUUGCCGCUUCGGCGGCUACUGCCGUGCUCGACUCUUACUAGCCGGUGCGUCUUGCGGUGCUCUUCAUCGAGUGCCGUAGGAGCCUGGCAUGUUUACUUUGAAAAAAUUAGAGUGCUCAAAGCAGGCGAUUCCGCCUGAAUAGUGUUGCAUGGAAUAAUGGAAUAGGACCUCGGUUCUAUUUUGUUGGUUUUCGGAACUUGAGGUAAUGAUUAAGAGGGACGGUCGGGGGCAUUCGUAUUUCGGUGUUAGAGGUGAAAUUCUUGGAUCGCUGAAAGACGGACAAAUGCGAAAGCAUCUGCCAAGAACGUCUCCAUUAAUCAAGAACGAAAGUCAGAGUUCGAAGACGAUCAGACACCGUCCUAGUUCUGACCAUAAACGAUGCCAACUAGCGAUCCGCAGUGGUUGCUAUAAACGGACUCUGCGAGCAGCUUCCGGGAAACCAAAGUGUUUGGGUUCCGGGGGAAGUAUGGUUGCAAAGCUGAAACUUAGAGGAAUUGACGGAAGGGCACCACCAGGAGUGGAGCCUGCGGCUUAAUUUGACUCAACACGGGGAAACUCACCCGGUCCGGACACUGUAAGGAUUGACAGAUCGAGAGCUCUUUCUUGAUUCGGUGGAUGGUGGUGCAUGGCCGUUCUUAGUUGGUGGAGUGAUUUGUCUGGUUAAUUCCGAUAACGAACGAGACUCUAGCCUGCUAACUAGUUGCGCCGUGUUCAUACGCGGCUGUAGACUUCUUAGAGGGACAGGUGGCGUUUAGCCACACGAAAUUGAGCAAUAACAGGUCUGUGAUGCCCUUAGAUGUCCGGGGCCGCACGCGCGCUACACUGAAGGAGUCAGCGUGUGCUAUCCGGGCUCGGAAGAGUUCGGUAACCCGUUGAAACUCCUUCGUGCUUGGGAUUGUGGCUUG